GGCAGCGAUUGUGGCUUCACCGUGGUAACGAGGAGAAAAGCAGCACGUGACAGCAAAGAGCGGAGAGAGACAGCUUAAUUGCCACCAGAUGUCCCUUCCUCUCUGUCAGUCUUACGCUUCCCAUUUCUCUCAAUGAACUGCCUCAGGAAUGGAGUGGAGUUUCCAAAGCCCAAGAUGACAAGCACUGACAGCUGAUCACUGAGAGAAGAUCCCCAGUGACCAAAGUGUGGCUCUGGAGUCCUUAAAUGUGUGGAGUGACAUGCUGGUCUUCUCAGAAAACAAUAUAAAGCCUUAGAAGGGGAGGUCUUUGACAGCUGGUUGCACCUCCUUUGGGAAGCCUGAAAGAUGUAACCACGAAGCUCACCACAUCACAACCACUGUUGAGAUGGACCAGGCCACUGUGUCAAGCACCAUCUGGAGAGCUGUU